UGGGGAAUCUUGGACAAUGGGCGAAAGCCUGAUCCAGCAAUGCCGCGUGCGUGAAGAAGGCCUUCGGGUUGUAAAGCGCUUUUGUCCGGGAGGAAAUCCUAAGAGCUAAUAUCUUUUGGGGAUGACAGUACCGGAAGAAUAAGGACCGGCUAACUACGUGCCAGCAGCCGCGGUAAUACGUAGGGUCCAAGCGUUAAUCGGAAUUACUGGGCGUAAAGGGUGCGCAGGUGGUUGAUUAAGUGUGAUGUGAAAGCCCCGGGCUCAACCUGGGAAUUGCAUUGCAAACUGGUUAACUAGAGUAUGGCAGAGGGGGGUGGAAUUCCGCGUGUAGCAGUGAAAUGCGUAGAGAUGCGGAGGAACACCGAUGGCGAAGGCAACCCCCUGGGCUAAUACUGACACUCAUGCACGAAAGCGUGGGGAGCAAACAGGAUUAGAUACCCUGGUAGUCCACGCCCUAAACGAUGUCUACUAGUUGUUGGGGGAUUCGUCCCUUAGUAACGCAGCUAACGCGUGAAGUAGACCGCCUGGGGAGUACGGCCGCAAGGCUA
rnacentral:rRNA from 1 species